rnacentral:lncRNA from 1 species
UAUAAACUUUCCUUAAUAUCUUGUCACUAGUUCUAUAUCCUUUUCUUAUUGUUUAUAGGAGAAGAAGGUUUGGAUUUUGAGAAUUUUAUCUACAAGUGCUAUUCCUGUUCCCUGAAUAAUAUAAAUGAAUUGAUGUUGCUUGCUAUAGAAUGAGAUAUCUAUUUUAUAAUAAUCAGACAAAGUGGGAGAAUAGUUGUCAUCAUUGUUUUUCAUCUUUCAUCUUCAAAGAGGACCGGUGAUAUUACAGUUGUGAAUAAAAGACCUCUGCUGGAAAGUAUCAUUAAGGUACUACUUCAAUUCUCAAAGUGGUCUGCAAAUCCCUGGAUUUCCUUUUAGGGUGUCCUCAAGGUCAAAACUACUUUUAUAAUAAUACUAAAAUGUUUAUUUGCCCAUAAAAAUAUUUAUCUCUUUGCCAAUCCCAUAUCUAUAUUGGACUGAACUUUCUAUAAAUACUUCAACUAAAGCAACAUUGAAUGUAGGUAAUAUGAAAUAUGAGGAUCCAGCAAUCAUCUAUUAGACCAAACACUAAAGAGAUUUGCAUAAAUAUGUAAAACAAUGACAUUCUUCUCAUUAAUUUUUGUUUUGGAAAAUGGCUAAUUUAAA